GUUUGCUGGGCCUUGCUGGUGCUGUAGGGACCUGGGGUUCUGUGGCAGUCACUUUGCAGAGAUGUACUUUUCUGUAUUUUAGCAAAAGAAAAAGUUAGGAAAUCAAUGCCAAGCUCAGAAGGAAGCAGAAGGGACCCCUUUGAAGGGCGAGACAGAGAAGACCUAAAGCAGAAGCUGGAUCUAAAGUCAGACCAUGCACAAACCUGGCCCUCAUCUUCCUCGGAUUUUAAUCAGGUCUUCCUGUUUCUGGGUCACCUUUGGAAAGAAGUCUCUUAUCUUCCAUUGAGCUGCCUCUGAUGAAGGUCGCUGACAGCAGGAUGGCUGGGAAAACAUCGGACAGCUCCAUCAAAUGGCAGCUCUGCUAUGACAUGUCAGCCAGGACCUGGUGGAUGAGUCGGUGUCCCUUGAGAAGUCCAUUGCGAAUACUUGAUUUAAAGACUUACACAGCUGAUUGUUUAUUUGCUUUUUAAUUAUGUUAUUGUGUUGCCUGAGAAGAUGCAGAUGAUGGACAAGGACAUGUUCGGAGAUGAAGUAACAAGUUGAAAAUAUUUGCACAAGUCAUUUAGACUCAGGCGUGGUGUGUAAGGGUGCUGUUCUUAGGAUGAUUCCGUUUUAAGGGACUGUGUUAAUUUGGGACCUAAGAGAUUGUUUAAGAGAUUAUUAUUUAAUAUGUCAUCAGAAACUCGGGGUGACAGGUGCUUUGUCAGAUACCUGAUUAAUCAAGCUGCGUUAUCGCUUAUCUUUGGGAAAGCUCUUGAAGAAACACGAAGCACACAAGGGCCACCCGAGUGUCAGCACCCUGUUUCUGUAAGGUCUAGGAAAUAUUUUUAAUGGGGCUUUAAAGUUCUUACAAUCUCUUUUACUGUGACUUUCCACUUACUGUGAAACUGACUCUCCUUUCUGUAAUUACUUCAGGGCUUUGUAUAAGAAAGGAUAUUGUAUCCUUGUCCGGCUUAAUCAAAUGAAAUUUUAGUAACCAAAGCCUAAAUUCCAGAGCCGCAGUGUCAACGCACCCCGACAGUUGAUUCCUGACUCAUUGUCUGUUCCACUUAGGUUCUCUUUUUGUGUGACAAUGAUCAUAAAUUCUACUUGACAGGAGGGAAAGCCCAACAAGACGUGGUUGUCCAAUUCUACAUCUGUUUCCCUUCCUAGAUAGGCAUGUUUUGGUAAAACAGAGGAAGAAAAAACAUCUUAUUGAGACAGCUCAAUAAACAAGUAUAGGGAGAGUAAACUCUCGUGAGUGUGCGUGGUGUGUGUGUGUGUGUGCUAGCUGUCAUCUACACGCAUGCAGUUCUUACAUGAUGAAUCCUGUGUGCUUGACUUUUAUGUGUGCGUGUAGUGUGUGUUAGCUAUCACGUGCGGAGUUUUAAAAUCUUGUGUGUUUUACGCUUGUGAAUUUAUAUGGCUGAGUUAACUCUCACGAGUGAGGAGGCUUUUAAACACUCGAGCCACACACGAGUUACUCUAGUGUGUGUUUUGAGUAUUAAACACAGGUACAUGGCGCACUUUUUAAAAUAAUAAACAUCAUGGUUUCCUUCUUUAGAUGGUUUCCUAUGCGCUCGCUCUCUUUUCAAGGGAGUAAGCCUGUGAGCACUCUCAAUGACAGUUGGCCGGCUAUAUUUAGAGUUCUGUUGAUGACCUUUCCCACUGCUUGAAAAUACCACUCAGACUGUAUUAAAGAUACGUCUUGUAAGUAACACUAUCUCACAACUGGUUAUUAAAGAUGCUGUAUGUUUCCUUUUAAAACACUAAUAAAGAAAACUUACAGGAGCCAUCUCCAGAAUUCCCAUUGUUUUCUGCGUUGUUUAUUUGAAGCUCUCUGAGAGAGAGAUUUAUUAAAACUUCUUUAGUAGCUGUUUGGAACUUCAAGGAGGCAGAUCUGCACCAGACAUAAUUUUCUUCCCUCUAAAUUUCCUAAGUCUAAUCCUUUGAUCCCAUCAGAACCAGGCCAGAAUGUUAGCAAGUUUACCUUGAUUGUUAAGGCUAAUUAUGUAAAUAUUAAUCCACAAAAUUAAUUUGAAAAACAAACUACUUAUGCUGCUUGAAAUUCUUUAAAUAUUAAUUAAGGUGAAUGGGGAGAGAAGUACCAUGAGAGAAGAACUUGAGGUAGACCUCACA
rnacentral:sRNA from 1 species